rnacentral:rRNA from 1 species
CCUACGGGAGGCAGCAGUGGGGAAUAUUGCACAAUGGGGGAAACCCUGAUGCAGCAACGCCGCGUGAGUGAAGAAGUAUUUCGGUAUGUAAAGCUCUAUCAGCAGGGAAGAAAAUGACAGUACCUGACUAAGAAGCCCCGGCUAACUACGUGCCAGAAGCCGCGGUAAUACGUAGGGGGCAAGCGUUAUCCGGAUUUACUGGGUUUAAAGGGAGCGUAGACGGGUGCUCAAGUCAGAAGUGAAAGCUCGGGGCUCAACCGUGGGACUGCUUUUGAAACUGUGUAGCUGGAGUUCAGGAGAGGUAAGUGGAAUUCCUAGUGUAGCGGUGAAAUGCGUAGAUAUUAGGAGGAACACCGGUUGCGAAGGCAGCUUACUGGACUGUAACUGACGUUGAGGCUCGAAAGCGUGGGGAGCAAACAGGAUUAGAUACCCUAGUAGUC